rnacentral:ncRNA from 1 species
UCAAGAUAAUUUCGUUCUUAUUUUAAUACACGAAAGAUGGGAACUCUAUCAGUAUUGAGUAGGACUCUACUAGAGGAAACUCAGGUAGAAAACGAAGCCAUUCUGAUGUACAAAUCGAUCGUCUGAUUUUGGUAUAGGGAAGGAAAACUAAUCGAAGUAGUACCUGGCUCCCUCUGAAGUUUCCCAAGAUAGCUGAGUACGUAAUGAAGCUGUUAUAUUCGGUAAAGCGAAUGAUUGGAGGAAUUGCGGGACGAAACGUCUUCAACCUAUUCUCAAGCUUUCAAUGGGUAUGACGUCUUGCUUGCUUGAAUAAAACGUAGAUUUGAGUGUGUGCUUCACGUACGCCAUUUUUGAUAAGUAGAAUUGGCGCUACGAGAUGAAGCAAACGUUAAUGCUAGGAUGAUUUCUUUGUUACUUUAAUCCAGGAAUGACCAUUAAUAGAGCCAGUUGAAAAAUAGUUAGAAACGCGCUCUCCUUUUUCGGAGGAUAAUUCUGGAUUUGCUGAAAAAACAGCAAUACCGGU